rnacentral:rRNA from 1 species
GUUUGACCUGGCUCAGAACGAACGCUGGCGGCAGGCUUAACACAUGCAAGUCGAACGCCCCGCAAGGGGAGUGGCAGACGGGUGAGUAACGCGUGGGAAUCUACCCAAUUCUUCGGAACAACACAUGGAAACGUGUGCUAAUACCGAAUGAGCCCUUCGGGGGAAAGAUUUAUCGGAAUUGGAUGAGCCCGCGUUGGAUUAGCUAGUUGGUGGGGUAAAGGCCUACCAAGGCGACGAUCCAUAGCUGGUCUGAGAGGAUGAUCAGCCACACUGGGACUGAGACACGGCCCAGACUCCUACGGGAGGCAGCAGUGGGGAAUAUUGGACAAUGGGCGCAAGCCUGAUCCAGCCAUGCCGCGUGAGUGAUGAAGGUCUUAGGAUUGUAAAGCUCUUUCACCGGUGAAGAUAAUGA